rnacentral:lncRNA from 1 species
CUAAAAUUUUUGAUAUGAUUAAAGUUUAGUCUCUUUUGAUAUGUCUUGUAUAUUUUUUAUUUGGUUUUGAUCAGAGUAUUGAAUCAAAAUCAGCCCCUGAUUCGGACUGCUGAAAAUUUGUUUUAGCAAAAAUUUUCUAUGCAGAUUUUUAUGCUGAUUUAAUACCUGAUUAUACAUGAAUUUAAAUCUAUUUUGAUAAAUUUUUUAUGAUGUAAUUCAAUUAAAAAAUUAAUGUUUGAAUUAGUCUC